AAGUUCUCUUUUUGGGAAUCUUUUGAUAUACUCAUGCAAGUUUCACGGAACAGUUGGAACUGGGCUACAAUCCCAUCGGAGCCGAAGGUGCAAAGGCUCUAUGCGAAGUUCUUAAGUAUCACGGAAAGAUUGAAACACUCAAGCUUGGUUGGUGUCAGCUCGGAGCGAAGGGUACAGAGUACAUUGCAGAUGCUUUGAAGUAUAACACAACCAUAUCAACUUUGGAUCUACGAGCGAAUGGACUUGGAGAUGAAGGAAUCAUCACUUUAGCCGCCAGCUUGAAGAUAGUUAAUGAAGCUUUGACCUCACUCGAUCUGGCAUUUAAUGAGAUAAGAGUACGUACAUGGUUCUUUGAAAUUUGUGGAUGCACAUAUGGGCUGUGUUAGCCCAUUGGGCCCACCAGUUUUAGGCCUAUUACUCCAUUUUC